rnacentral:lncRNA from 1 species
UUGUUCUUCAGAACAGCUUCUGCAGUAGCUAAUAAUAUCGUUAUAUAUUAUAUAAAUUUUAUACAUCCUUUUUACCCUACAACUCCAUAUAUAAGCAAGUAAAAAUAAAUAUGGCUCGCUCUGUUUCUUCCUUUAAGCUCCUUGGUGCUUCUGUUUUUGAUGGUCUUUAUGUCUCCAUAUCAAGGUAACCGUGUGUGUGUUUUUUUCAAAAUCCUUUGUAUAUGGUUUUUGGCUUAAUUUUUUUUUUGGUUAUUGAUAAUGAUUUGGGGUUGUCUUUAAAGGAGAGGUUACUCGGGUGCACCGCCGGCGGCAGUGACGGCUAGCUUUGGUAGGCCUGGGGCGAUGGGGAAAGUGGAACGAAGAGAUGCGAUGAAAGAGUCGUCGUCGUCGGAGACAAGGGCUUAUUCUUCAGCUUGGGCGCCUGACCCUGUUACGGGGUAUUACCGGCCGGAGAAUUGUGGGGCUGAGAUCGAUGCGGCGGAGCUCCGGGAGAUGUUGUUGAAUCACAGGGUUAGAUCACAGUAGAAA